rnacentral:rRNA from 1 species
AUUGGACGCUGGCGGCAGGCUUAACACAUGCAAGUCGAGCGGUAGCACAGGGGAGCUUGCUCCCUGGGUGACGAGCGGCGGACGGGUGAGUAAUGUCUGGGAAACUGCCUGAUGGAGGGGGAUAACUACUGGAAACGGUAGCUAAUACCGCAUAACGUCGCAAGACCAAAGAGGGGGACCUUCGGGCCUCUUGCCAUCAGAUGUGCCCAGAUGGGUUUAGCUAGUAGGUGGGGUAAUGGCUAACCUAGGCGACGAUCCCUAGCUGGUCUGAGAGGAUGACCAGCCACACUGGAACUGAGACACGGUCCCGACUCCUACGGGAAGCAGCAGUGGGGAAUAUUGCACAAUGGGCGCAAGCCUGAUGCAGCCAUGCCGCGUGUGUGAAGAAGGCCUUCGGGUUGUAAAGCACUUUCAGCGAGGAGGAAGGUGGUGAACUUAAUACGUUCAUCAAUUGACGUUACUCGCAGAAGAAGCACCGGCUAACUCCGUGCCAGCAGCCGCGGUAAGAC